rnacentral:rRNA from 1 species
GUGGAUUAGAUACCCUGGUAGUCCACGCCGUAAACGAUGAUCACUCGCUGUUUGCGAUAUACAGUAAGCGGCUGAGCGAAAGCAAUAAGUGAUCCACCUGGGGAGUACGAUCGCAAGGUUGAAACUCAAAGGAAUUGACGGGGGCCCGCACAAGCGGAGGAACAUGUGGUUUAAUUCGAUGAUACGCGAGGAACCUUACCUGGGCUUAAAUGGGGAGUGACAGCUGCUGAAAGGUGGCCUUCUUCGGACACUCUCCAAGGUGCUGCACGGCUGUCGCCAGCU